UACGGGAGGCAGCAGUGGGGAAUAUUGCACAAUGGGCGAAAGCCUGAUGCAGCUAUGCCGCGUGUAUGAAGAAGGCCUUAGGGUUGUAAAGUACUUUCAUCGGGGAGGAAAAACAAAACUAAUAAUUUUAUUUCUUGACGUUACCCGAAAAAGAAGCACCGGCUAACUCCGUGCCAGCAGCCGCGGUAAUACGGAGGGUGCUAGCGUUAAUCAGAAUUACUGGGCGUAAAGAGCACGUAGGUGGUUUUUUUAAGUCAGAUGUGAAAUCCCUGGGCGUUAACCUAGGAACUGCAUUUUGAAACUGAAAUACUAGAGUAUCGUAGAGGGAGGUAGAAUUCUAGGUGUAGCGGUGAAAUGCGUAGAUAUCUGGAGGAAUACCUGUGGCGAAAGCGGCCUCCUAAACGAAUACUGACACUGAGGUGCGAAAGCGUGGGGAGGCAAACAGGGAUUAGAUACC
rnacentral:rRNA from 1 species